ACUAUCAAAUCCACCUUCAAUAAACAUUUCAAAUUUAUAUUCAUUUAAAUAUUUUUAUUGUAACCCAUUUCUACUUAAAUAUUAGCUACACCUUGAUCUGAUAUAUUUUCUUUUUAAAAAUUAUGAAAAUUAACAUUCUUAUAAAAUAUUCUAAUAACGACGGUAUAUAAACUGAUUACAAACUUAAGUAAGGUCCAUCGUGGAUUAUCGAUUACAGAACAGGUUCCUCUGAAUAGACUAAAAUACCGCCAAAUUUUUUAAGUUGCAAGAACAUACCUCCUACUACCUUAGUUUUUAAAUUUACAUUUUAAAU
rnacentral:rRNA from 1 species